rnacentral:rRNA from 1 species
UACGUAGGGUGCAAGCGUUAAUCGGAAUUACUGGGCGUAAAGCGUGCGCAGGCGGUUGGGUAAGACAGAUGUGAAAUCCCCGGGCUCAACCUGGGAACUGCAUUUGUGACUGCACAGCUGGAGUGCGGCAGAGGGGGAUGGAAUUCCGCGUGUAGCAGUGAAAUGCGUAGAUAUGCGGAGGAACACCGAUGGCGAAGGCAAUCCCCUGGGCCUGCACUGACGCUCAUGCACGAAAGCAUGGGGAGCGAACAGG